rnacentral:rRNA from 1 species
AGUGAACGCUGGCGGCGUGCUUAACACAUGCAAGUCGAGCGAAUUCCGGCAGAGUAUCGUCGGAGUUAGCGGCAGACGGGUGAGUAAUACUUGGGCAAUCUGCCCUCAAGUGGGAAAUAACCUGGCGAAAGUCGGGCUAAUGUCCCAUAAGACCACGGGAUGGCAUCAUCCAGGGGUCAAAGGUCCGCAAGGGCCGCUAGAGGAGGAGCCCGAGUCCUAUCAUGGUAGUUGGUGAGGUAACGGCUCACCAAGCCUUUGACGGGUAGCCGGCCUGAAAGGGUGACCGGCCACACUGGCACUGAGACACGGGCCAGACUCCUACGGGAGGCAGCAGUGGGGAAUUUGGACAGUGGGGGCAACCCUGAUCCAGCGACGCCGCGUGGAGGACGAAGGUCUUCGGAUUGUAAACUCCUUUUGGAGGGGAUGAAUGGCCUGGUGAAUAGCCAGGUGUGACAGUACUCUCUGAAUAAGCCACGGCUAACUACGUGCCAGCAGCCGAC